GGGGACUUCUGCCCCCACCCCCCAACACAGUGGAAUUGGGUCCAGAACCCUCUUUAAGGACUUUCUAGUAUGAUAAUGAAGAGGAGUGGCAAAAGAGGAUAUUUCCAAUCUCAAGGGAAAAAAGCAAAUUCCUCACUUAAGUAUGAUGGAAGUUGUAGCUGUUUUUGCACAGAGAAGCCAUAAUGACAACAUCAUGAGAAGGUGGCCAACCACAGAGAAAGAGAGGCCUUACCGGAAACUAACCCAGACCUUGAUCCUGGACUGUUAGCCUCUGUGCUGUGAGAAAAUGAAGCAAUGACUGCAGUUCAAGCCACCCAGGUUGUGGUAUUUUGUUAUGAAAGCCCUAGCAGACUAACACAGCCAUCAUCAACAAAUUAUACAUCUCUUUUUUCCCCUUAGGAAUCAUAUUAUUCUUAAUUUUUUGAGGUUAA